rnacentral:rRNA from 1 species
AUUGAACGCUGGCGGCAUGCUUUACACAUGCAAGUCGGACGGCAGCACAGAGAAGCUUGCUUCUUGGGUGGCGAGUGGCGAACGGGUGAGUAAUAUAUCGGAACGUACCGAGCAGUGGGGGAUAACUAAUCGAAAGAUUAGCUAAUACCGCAUAUUUUCUGAGGAAGAAAGCAGGGGACCAUUUGGCCUUGCGCUGUUUGAGCGGCCGAUAUCUGAUUAGCUAGUUGGUGGGGUAAAGGCCUACCAAGGCGACGAUCAGUAGCGGGUCUGAGAGGAUGAUCCGCCACACUGGGACUGAGACACGGCCCAGACUCCUACGGGAGGCAGCAGUGGGGAAUUUUGGACAAUGGGCGCAAGCCUGAUCCAGCCAUGCCGCGUGUCUGAAGAAGGGCUUCGGGUUGUAAAGGACUUUUGUCAGGGAAGAAAAGGGCGGGGUUAAUACCCCUGUCUGAUGACGUACCGAAGAAUAAC